GAUUUCGUGGCGCAACGGAAGCGCGCCUGACUCCACAUCAGGAGGUUGCGUGUUCAAAUCACGUCGAGAUAA
rnacentral:tRNA from 1 species